ACGGGGGAUGCAAGCGUUAUCCGGAUUUAUUGGGUUUAAAGGGUGCGUAGGCGGUUUGAUAAGUCAGCGGUGAAAUAUUUCAGCUUAACUGAAAGGGUGCCGUUUAUACUGUCAGGCUUGAAUAUGGUUGCUGUGGGUGGAAUGUGUGGUGUAGCCGUGAAAUACUUAGAUAACAAGCAGAAUAUUGAUUGCGCGGGUAGCUCACAAAGCCAUUAUUGACGCUGAUACACGAAAGUGUGGGGAUCAAAAAG
rnacentral:rRNA from 1 species